GAGUACCUUUGUUUUCACACCGUCUUGUGCAGCGUCUUGUAGCUUUCGCUCGCGGAAGAUCAGAGCAAAGUGACAAGAAACAGCUGCGGGUUCAAGGCAGUUGUCUACCCGGUUCUGAUCUCUUGCCAGUUCCAGCUUGUGGUGCCUGCUGUGAUGGGCAUUGCGUGCAGCGAGAUCA